CAUUCACGGAGAGUUUGAUCCUGGCUCAGGACGAACGCUGGCGGCGUGCUUAACACAUGCAAGUCGAACGAUGAAGCCCUUCGGGGUGGAUUAGUGGCGAACGGGUGAGUAACACGUGGGCAAUCUGCCCUUCACUCUGGGACAAGCCCUGGAAACGGGGUCUAAUACCGGAUAAUACUUUCUCUCUCAUGGGGGAAGGUUAAAAGCUCCGGCGGUGAAGGAUGAGCCCGCGGCCUAUCAGCUAGUUGGUGGGGUAAUGGCCUACCAAGGCGACGACGGGUAGCCGGCCUGAGAGGGCGACCGGCCACACUGGGACUGAGACACGGCCCAGACUCCUACGGGAGGCAGCAGUGGGGAAUAUUGCACAAUGGGCGAAAGCCUGAUGCAGCGACGC
rnacentral:rRNA from 1 species